rnacentral:rRNA from 1 species
UAGGGAAUCUUCCACAAUGGACGGAAAGUCGUGAGUGGAGCAACGCCGCGUGAGUGAAGAAGGGUUUCGGCUCGUAAAACUCUGUUGUUAAAGAAGAACAUAUCUGAGAGUAACUGUUCAGGUAUUGACGGUAUUUAACCAGAAAGCCACGGCUAACUACGUGCCAC